CUCGGCGACCGCCGGCGACACUGGGCGCGCUAGAGCCCGAGCUGAGCCGAGCCCGAGUCGCCGCCGCCGCCGCCGCUCCCAGGCUUUCUCCCAGCGCGCCGGCCCGGGUGUGGGGGGCAGCGGGCCGGAGGGGCGCGGGCGGACGAGGGGCGCGCGCUGCGAUCGGCGCCGGAGACCGGACCCUCGGCCGCGAGGGGUGUUGCUGGCCUCUGCUCUUCUAAGACUUCAGCUGCAGAACCCACUCAUGAACCCUCCUAGGGCUCUGGAGAAGAUCUAAUGGGAGAUUGAGUGUGGAAACUCUUUGGAAACCAUGAAGCACUCCGUAAAACGGUAAAAUUUCUCUUCUCUUAUA